CCUACGGGUGGCAGCAGUGAGGAAUAUUGGUCCAUGGACGAGAGUCUGAACCAGCCAAGUAGCGUGAAGGAUGACUGCCCUAUGGGUUGUAAACUUCUUUUAUAUGGGAAUAAAACGUUCCACGUGUGGGAUUUUGUAUGUACCAUAUGAAUAAGGAUCGGCUAACUCCGUGCCAGCAGCCGCGGUAAUACGGAGGAUCCGAGCGUUAUCCGGAUUUAUUGGGUUUAAAGGGAGCGUAGGUGGAUUGUUAAGUCAGUUGUGAAAGUUUGCGGCUCAACCGUAAAAUUGCAGUUGAAACUGGCAGUCUUGAGUACAGUAGAGGUGGGCGGAAUUCGUGGUGUAGCGGUGAAAUGCUUAGACAUCACGAAGAACUCCGAUUGCGAAGGCAGUUCACUGGACUGCAACUGACACUGAGGCUCGAAAGUGUGGGUAUCAAACAGGAUUAGAUACCCGUGUAGUC
rnacentral:rRNA from 1 species